rnacentral:rRNA from 1 species
CACGUAGGGUGCGAGCGUUGUCCGGAAUUAUUGGGCGUAAAGAGCUCGUAGGCGGUGUGUCGCGUCGGCCGUGAAAACCUGCAGCUUAACUGUGGGCUUGCGGUCGAUACGGGCAUCACUGGAGUUCGGCAGGGGAGACUGGAAUUCCUGGUGUAGCGGUGAAAUGCGCAGAUAUCAGGAGGAACACCGGUGGCGAAGGCGGGGUCUCUGGGCCGAUACUGACGCUGAGGAGCGAAAAGCGUGGGGAGCGAACAGG